UNGUGCCUCUUCCUGAGAACCAUUCCUG
rnacentral:piRNA from 1 species